rnacentral:tRNA from 1 species
AAACCCGGUGCCUUACCGCUUGGCGAUACCCCA